UACGUAGGGGGCAAGCGUUGUCCGGAAUCAUUGGGCGUAAGAAGCGUGUAGGCGGCUCGGUAAGUCCGCUCUGAAAGCCCGGGGCUCAACCCCGGGAGGCGGGCGGAUACUGUCGGGCUAGAGUCCGGAAGAGGCGAGUGGAAUUCCUGGUGUAGCGGUGAAAUGCGCAGAUAUCAGGAGGAACACCAAUGGCGAAGGCAGCUCGCUGGGACGGUACUGACACUGAGACGCGAAAGCGUGGGGAGCGAACAGG
rnacentral:rRNA from 1 species